GGUCCGUGCUCCGGCGGUGCUGGCGGUCUCCGUCCUGCCUGUGCGGUGCCAGGCCACAGCAGGUGCGCUCCACCGCAUCUCUCAGGUGGAGAGGGCCGGCAGGCCUGAGAUGAGCUGCUUCUUGCACCACCGCGCCAUUUGGGAUACAGUUAGGGGUAUGCAGAGGCGUCUCCUCCGGACCUAGAGUUUUGUCCUUGAUCAGAGUCGAGGCUUGUAAACAUCAUGAAGGAAGGAUCUACCCACAAUUGGCUUUGAAUUCUGCACAAUGACUAGUAUAUCACUUUGUAUCAAGCAAUAGUUCCCCCUUGUAAAUGAAUUCCUGUGGCUACCACGUCAAUCUCCUAGAUAGUAAUAAGUCUAAUCAGAAACACCAUACAGCUGCUUUCCACACCAGGGCAGUAGGAGAAUUACAUGCGAAUCUUGAACACUGAAGAAGAGGGCUGAAGGAGGAGCUAAACCUGGUGAGUGCCUUACUUACAGAUCCCUG
rnacentral:lncRNA from 1 species